GUCCAGUGACGAGUCCCAAACAGGACGAAACGCGCGUCCUGGAU
rnacentral:hammerhead_ribozyme from 1 species